CCCACCCUGAGCCUAAGUCAUCCCCUUUGCCUCUCAGGAAUUUUGCCAGAAUGGGGCACAGCAGCUCAGGUUUGGGGGGAAAGAUCCAAAUCUAGAGAGUCUGGGGGGAAAGGGGCUUGAAUGUUCUGUAGCUCCCACUGGUUCCAGAGUUUCCUAGCAGCCUGGGAAAGCCCCGCCUUCAUUUCUGCCUCACCCCACUUCCCACCUCCCCGCCCUCCCCAGGGCUGGGCAGUGAGGGUAAGCUGAUCUCUAAAACACAAAUACCACCAGCUGCUUCAUCCACGGAAGGCACUGAGAACAGGGGCAUGAGGGAGAAAAUCCUUAAAAUAAACUCUUGGGCAUCCCCCUCACCAGCUGACUGGCUUUCCGGGGCCUUGCGGCCCCUGGGACCAGAGGCUGCCCUGCAGCCACCGAGAAAGUUCCUCCUCCAUCGGGAGAGCAGAACCAGGUGCCGGCAGCAGUGGAGGACCUGGUCUUUCCAUGAUGCUCUCUGGCCCAGACCUGGGCCCCACCUCCCCCGCCAAGACUAAUGGAUGCCAGUGCUGUCGCCGCAGAAGGCCUGAUGGCAGGUGCCUGGGACGGGGCCGGUGCCCUGGGGGGGCAUGUACAGCAACUGUAAAUAACCCUCUUCCCCACCCAGGAACCCAGACUGGAAUCCAGUCUCCCUUCAUGGAGACAAAGGCUUUCCGGAGCCACAGAGCCUCCUUAGCAGGACAGCAGUGAGAGGCCUGAGAGCCUCCUACCCAGACUGCCUUCCUUCGAGCAACUCCAGGGGACCGCUUUGCCUGGCGCUCCUAGCAAACCUCUUAUUUAUUUUAUUUAUUUAUCUUUAUUUAUUUAUUUAUGUAACCUCUCUCUCUUUCUCUCUCUCCCUCGGUUGCCAUUAGCAGUAUUCAACUAUUUAUUUAUUUAUAUGGAGAGCGUGUGCGUAUGUGUGUUUGUGUGGUUGGGGAGGAGGGAGGACUCCCAGAUGAUUUUUGUGCAACUCUCUUUUGUCUUCCUCACGUCUCUAUGGAUGGGAUUUGAGAGGUUGGAUGUGGGUGGGGAUGUUGGCCCUUUUCCUUAAAGGCGAGACCCACAGGGCUCUAACCCCGGGACGUCCUGGAGGUGGACCGGAAGCACUUCAGUUCGUGACUCAGUCCACAUCCAGUGAAGUUCAGGUCUGCAUCCCAGCAUCUGGCGCACCAGCUCCCUGACUGAUGUAUCAAAAACGUGAUGUAUCAAAAACGUGCGAACAGCCAAGAGGCUUAUGUGCUAAGGUGCUGAACGGACACAAUGGAGUCACAGCUCAUGUGGGGCUUGGAGUCUAAAGUUAGCAUCUAAGGCAAAAGUUGCAGAAAGGCCUUUAGGGAGGCACAAGAUGUGCACAUCUUAAUCUCACACUUGUUCCAGGGUAUAUAUCAGUGGGCGAGAUCAUUUGCUUUUUUGAGCAUACCUCAUUGGUUUGAUGCAAGCUACACAUGCUUCUGACUCUCCCUUAGCUAAUUUCUCCCUUCUGAGAUCUCAAGGCUCUUCUGUGGACACACCUGCCUUGUGACCAGGUAUCACCCAUCCUGGGAGAGAGACACACGAACCCAAAGCUGAAGCCUUUUGCCAUGAUCUCGGGAGAGAGUACAUAGCUAUUUUGAAAUGAGAAAAGAAAACAAACAAGAUGAAAGGAGCAGCCAGAGGUUCUCCCCCCACCACCACCACCACCGAGAAGGUCAUUUCGGAACCUGUCUUGGGAACCAGGAUCCUGAAGUCUUCACCAGUCUUGCCUCUCUGACCAACUAGCAGUGUCUUCUGACUGCUGGCUGGCGACGGCUCCUGCCCUUUCCAAAGUCAUGAUUUACUGCCUUGAAACGGCCAGUUUGCCUGGACCAGCUUUGGGUUUGGUGAGACUUUUGCAACAUUCCUGGUUGUUUCCCUGGCAAUGUGACUUUCUCUGCCCUCACCCAAGCAGCCCGAUCGAGGGAGUGCCUGUAGCCUGGGCAGAGUGUGCAAGAGCUUACAUGCCUCCUGGGGGGGGGGGGGGAUCUCUGUCCCUCCCUGUCACUUGGUGUGUUUCUAUAAUUUCCUUUACAUUUCCUUCUUUCCCCCCUCCCCCCAUCCAAAAAUAAAACUCUCGUUGGGGCACUGGUAACCUUGUUUAACCAGAACCCCCGAUCCCUGGCACUACUGUUCCUCCGCCCACUUCCGCCCCAUUACGCUCCUGCUCCCAGGGAGUGAGACAGAUCACCUGAAAACUGCUCAUGGUGAGGACCUGUUUCUAAAACCAGUAUGGAAAAUGGGAGGGAGAUGUGGCUUGAGGUCGAGCAACAUGCAGCCCUUCGAUCUUCCUGGGUGUUCCCCAGGUGAGUGGAGCUGGGAAAGCUGCUCCCCUUUUCUGGACCAAAGUCUCCCCCUUUCAGAAGUGGAGGAGUUUUUGAGAUACAACCCAGAAUGUUAACCCAAGGCCUGGGCAGUUCUUCAAAGACAGAGUGAGUUCACUGAGACUUAAGAGAAAAAAGGAAAACAUCCACAGACAUUUUUAGGAGGUUCUCAAUCUUGAGAGUAACACGGAAAAGCAACAAUGUGAACUCCAGUUGAUUCAGAAAAGCUAAUUCAAGCCCCCACCCAGGAACGUUCUUCUUCAUCCAGGUUUGACUGCACUCCUAGCUCCCUCUCUCCCCUUGUCAGAAGGGAAGUCAGUCUUUCAGAAGCAAAAGAAUAUUAAGAUGUUUGAAAGCCUCGAGGGUCUCAGUCCCAGAGAGCCCCUGUCCCUUCAGGUGUCCAGACCCCUCCUCCUUCCCAAAAGGCUUUGCUUGAACAGGCUAAUGUUUGGGGGGCUCCCAGCGGUUUGAAAGCCCGUUUCUUCUUUUCUCAAGUCCCGCUUUAAUCUUCUCUUCUGCUGUAUUCCUUCCCACGACUAUUCAAAACAGUUGCACGUGCAUGUGUCUCGCCCUCAUUUUUUUUCUUCUCCAGCUGAAUAGAAAAUUUUGUCUGAUUCAAAACAAAACAGGAUUCGUCAAACCACACCCUCUCCUCCAUUGACCAACUGUGUCCAGCUGGGAAAUUACAGUCGAUAACAGCAUCAUCAAGCAAUGUUGUAUUGCAACCUCUUCCUUCCCCCUUCUGCACCCACGAGCCGGCGACCUUGAUGGAGUUGUCAUCUACCCUCUGUGGCUGUUGUUUUGAGUUAAUUUUCUUUCUUUCUUUCUUUCUUUCUUUCUUUCUUUCUUUCUUUCUUUCUUUCUUUCUUUCUUUCUUUUUUUUUUUUGAGAUUUGUUUUGUUUUGUUUUGUUUUGGUGGUAGUGGUUUUGCAUUGUAAAUACCAUGAUGGGGGGGACCCCCUCAUCAGAACGUGGCUUGUUUAAUAAUUUAUUUCCUAUUUAUUGAGUGAAAUUGGGAGAGGAGAGGGACCUCCCCCCCACCUCUUCCCUUCAAUUGCUAUUGGAAAUGGGUCCAUCUCUCCGCUCCGGGUGUGGCUGGCUGCAGUGGGGGCAUUUAUUGCCCACGUAAUGAGGGUUAGAAUCACCCAGCAAAUUGGAAUUGGCAGAAACGGAGGCUUCAGUCAUACAAAUUAAGCUCAAAUGGAACUAAAACACUGGUUAUCUCCGGGAAAACCUCAUUUCGAUGGAAAUUAAUUGAGGAAUAAAAUGCCUGUGCACGAACUAACUUCUAUUAAAAAAUCACAACUCCUUGAAAAAAGAAAAGAGAGAGAGAAAGAGCACGAAAAUUAUAAUUCCUUUCCUCUGGCCAAGAAAAGCUAUGCCUCAUCUUCUAACAAGCUGAGCCAAAGAGACUGGAACAGCAUUCCUUCAUGAUUCUCUUGCCUGUGUGUGUGUGUGUGUGUGUGUGUCUGGGUGAAAUGGAGAGGAUCUUGGGCCUCAGUCUUAUCGUCUGUAAAAUGGGGCUUGACUUACACUGGAGAGGAGGGGGUUCUAACUCUGAUGCUGGGAGUUCCAAACUGUCAGAUGUAGGGUCCUUUGUGUCUUCCACUGACUAUAGGUUGAAGGGUGUCUCCCAAGGAAGAAAAGAAAAAUGUAGGGCAUGGACUUCAUUUGUAGAGCCGGGGGAGUUGCUGAGUGCUACAGUCGGGUGUGGGAGACCUCUGGGUGCUGCCAGCUGGUAGCUCUUGUGGCCUGGGUUAAAGCCGUAUAUAUAAGCUUCUCUCCAAGCCCAGCCAUCCAGUAUCAUCAAAGGAAAGACCAGGAUGGCUUCACUGUGCUCUGGACCACCAUGUAGCGUGUCGGGCCAUAUUUUGUACAAUUGUUCAUACAAGCCAGUGAUGUAGGUCAUAUUGCCAUUUUUCAGAUGAGAAAACUGAGGCCCAGGAAGGGGGAACUGACAUGCUUGGGCUCCCCUGAGCUCUGAUCUGCCCAAAUCUGUACCCCGCGCUCUCCUAGGUGGCUCUUUCUUGCCGGUCCCGGGCUGUGAGGACUUCUCUUUGUGCUGGAUUUUUUUCUCUCCCAGUUCCCAGCUGUUUCCUCAAGCAGUCAUUGGCCAGAGACCUGGUACAAUCUACCACAUGAGCCCAGGAGGCUUGGUGCACGCAGGGGCCAUUUCUCCACUUCGGGGGCUGGAACUCGCACCUGGAAAACCCCAAACCGGGGGACCCACCACCAGCCCAGCUCAGCCUGAGCGGCCGGCCUCUGCCCACACACCCUCAACAGAGGGGGAGAAGCUCCUCUGUCCUCCCACAUCUUGGGACCCUGGCCUCUACCCAGCGACACAGCGGCCACGGCUUGUUUGAUAUCUGGUGUCCACGGCUAAGCAUAACCUUCCCGAGGUUUCCGAUUUUUCAGCCUGUACGAAACAUGUCUCUGUUCCAAUAAAAGGUCCCAUGGUAUGGUGUUCUCAUACGCA